CAUGGUCUGCGUUUGGAAAGAUUUUUCGGUUGGGGAGGGGCUCGCGGCCUAUCAGCUUGUUGGUGAGGUAAUGGCUCACCAAGGCGUCGACGGGUAGCCGGCCUGAGAGGGUGACCGGCCACACUGGGACUGAGACACGGCCCAGACUCCUACGGGAGGCAGCAGUGGGGAAUAUUGCACAAUGGGCGGAAGCCUGAUGCAGCAACGCCGCGUGAGGGAUGACGGCCUUCGGGUUGUAAACCUCUUUUAGCAGGGAAGAAGCGAAAGUGACGGUACCUGCAGAAAAAGCGCCGGCUAACUACGUGCCAGCAGCCGCGGUAAUACGUAGGGCGCAAGCGUUAUCCGGAAUUAUUGGGCGUAAAGAGCUCGUAGGCGGUUUGUCGCGUCUGCUGUGAAAUCCCGAGGCUCAACCUCGGGCCUGCAGUGGGUACGGGCAGACUAGAGUGCGGUAGGGGAGAUUGGAAUUCCUGGUGUAGCGGUGGAAUGCGCAGAUAUCAGGAGGAACACCGAUGGCGAAGGCAGAUCUCUGGGCCGUAACUGACGCUGAGGAGCGAAAGGGUGGGGAGCAAACAGGCUUAGAUACCCUGGUAGUCCACCCCGUAAACGUUGGGAACUAGUUGUGGGGUCCAUUCCACGGAUUCCGUGACGCAGCUAACGCAUUAAGUUCCCCGCCUGGGGAGUACGGCCGCAAGGCUAAAACUCAAAGGAAUUGACGGGGACCCGCACAAGCGGCGGAGCAUGCGGAUUAAUUCGAUGCAACGCGAAGAACCUUACCAAGGCUUGACAUAUACGAGAACGGGCCAGAAAUGGUCAACUCUUUGGACACUCGUAAACAGGUGGUGCAUGGUUGUCGUCAGCUCGUGUCGUGAGAUGUUGGGUUAAGUCCCGCAACGAGCGCAACCCUCGUUCUAUGUUGCCAGCACGUAAUGGUGGGAACUCAUGGGAUACUGCCGGGGUCAACUCGGAGGAAGGUGGGGAUGACGUCAAAUCAUCAUGCCCCUUAUGUCUUGGGCUUCACGCAUGCUACAAUGGCCGGUACAAAGGGCUGCAAUACCGUGAGGUGGAGCGAAUCCCAAAAAGCCGGUCCCAGUUCGGAUUGAGGUCUGCAACUCGACCUCAUGAAGUCGGAGUCGCUAGUAAUCGCAGAUCAGCAACGCUGCGGUGAAUACGUUCCCGGGUCUUGUACACACCGCCCGUCAAGUCAUGAAAGUCGGUAACACCUGAAGCCGGUGGCCUAACCCUUGUGGAGGGAGCCGUCGAAGGUG
rnacentral:rRNA from 1 species